rnacentral:rRNA from 1 species
UACGUAGGGUGCAAGCGUUGUCCGGAAUUAUUGGGCGUAAAGAGCUCGUAGGCGGUUUGUCGCGUCUGCUGUGAAAACCCGAGGCUCAACCUCGGGCCUGCAGUGGGUACGGGCAGACUAGAGUGCGGUAGGGGAGAUUGGAAUUCCCGGUGUAGCGGUGAAAUGCGCAGAUAUCGGGAAGAACACCCGUGGCGAAGGCGGCACUCUGGGACGGUACUGACGCUGAGACGCGAAAGCGUGGGGAGCGAACAGG